GAAUCUUCCACAAUGGACGAAAGUCUGAUGGAGCAACGCCGCGUGAGCGAUGAAGGCCUUCGGGUCGUAAAGCUCUGUUGUUAGGGAAGAACAAGUACCGGAGUAACUGCCGGUACCUUGACGGUACCUAACCAGAAAGCCACGGCUAACUACGUGCCAGCAGCCGCGGUAAUACGUAGGUGGCAAGCGUUGUCCGGAAUUAUUGGGCGUAAAGCGCGCGCAGGCGGUCCUUUAAGUCUGAUGUGAAAGCCCACGGCUCAACCGUGGAGGGUCAUUGGAAACUGGGGGACUUGAGUGCAGAAGAGGAAAGCGGAAUUCCACGUGUAGCGGUGAAAUGCGUAGAGAUGUGGAGGAACACCAGUGGCGAAGGCGGCUUUCUGGUCUGUAACUGACGCUGAGGCGCGAAAGCGUGGGGAGCAAACAG
rnacentral:rRNA from 1 species